rnacentral:rRNA from 1 species
AGUGAACGCUGGCGGUAGGCCUAACACAUGCAAGUCGAACGGCAGCACAGGAGAGCUUGCUCUCUAGGUGGCGAGUGGCGGACGGGUGUGGAAUACAUCGGAAUCUGCCCAGUCGUGGGGGAUAACGUAGGGAAACUUACGCUAAUACCGCAUACGACCUUCGGGUGAAAGAGGGGGAUCGCAAGACCUCUCGCGAUUGGAUGAGCCGAUGUCGGAUUAGCUAGUUAGCGGGGUAAUGGCCCACCAAGGCGACGAUCCGUAGCCGGUCUGAGAGGAUGAUCGGCCACACUGGAACUGAGACACGGUCCAGACUCCUACGGGAGGCAGCAGUGGGGAAUAUUGGACAAUGGGCGCAAGCCUGAUCCAGCCAUACCGCGUGGGUGAAGAAGGCCUUCGGGUUGUAAAGCCCUUUUGUUGGGAAAGAAAUCGUUCAGGCUAAUACCCUGGGAGGAUGACGGUACCCAAAGAAUAAGCACCGGCUAACUUCGUG